AAGCAUUUUAAUGCAAGAGAGUGGGAAUUUUUCGCCGUGUGUGUGUGUGUGUGUGUGUGUGUGUGUGUUAGCCGAUUCUCAAAGUUGUUGUCUGCCAGUGUGCAUUAUUUUUAGCCGGACGAUCUUGGCUUUGGCGCCAGCGGGUUAAGACAUGCUCACACACCAUCAUAAGUUACAUCUGAUCAUCCGUUUGUCAAUUCGCAUUUAGGAAUGAAUAUGUCGCUGGCCUCACACACACACACACACACACACACACACACACACACAAAAAUAUAAUCUCGCUGGCCUUCAGAUAAUUAUCAGCUUCCUUUUAUCCGGUGCCAGCUGUCUUUUGCGACAUGUUUUAAAGCAAAUAAUGAUUCGGGCUUUAGUAAGGGAGAUAAACGCGAGGCGGGCAUUUGGUCUGCUAUAUCGCUCCUAAAGAACCGCUGCACAACACGAUGGGUGACGAGUUUCACACACAUUUGAAAUGACAAGGCAUUAGGACAUUAAAAUAUAAGGGGUGUGGAAGGUGUUGAAAGACUACAUCUCUAAUACGGAAGAUAAGCUCAGCCAGCGGUGACACGCUUCACACGCUCUCCCAACCGAUAAAAAUGAGCAUUGAUAGCACUCCAGUCCUUGGAAAUCCUGGACUAUUUUCACGCUCCAUGGCUCUUAACCUAAGUGGUCAACAUUCUAUAGAGCCUGAAAAAAGACAAUCCAUUGGAGAACACACCCUUCCUCGUGAAAAUAUUGAACUAUUCAGCCUGAAGAUCAACUGCGGACAUCAUGUCCUCAUUCACCUUGCUCAUUCCCCGUGACAAUGGAACUGCAGGUGCACUUAUCCUCGAUAUGAUAACUGGCGCGCGGAGAUAUUACUUUUGCUUUUAAUGUUAAUGCUAAUGAAUUAAUAUGCGGACACCAAUCUUUGACAUAAAGUACCCUGCGCUGACUGAAAACGACUGUAACACAUUAUGACCAGAUCCACAAUAAAGAGU